rnacentral:rRNA from 1 species
GACGAACGCUGGCGGCGUGCUUAACACAUGCAAGUCGAACGGAAAGGCCUCUUUCGGGGGGUACUCGAGUGGCGAACGGGUGAGUAACACGUGAGUAACCUGCCCUUGACUUUGGGAUAACUUCAGUCAACUGGGGCUAAUACCGGCUAGGAGCUCCUGCUGCAUGGUGGGGGUUGGAAAGUUUCGGCGUUUGGGGAUGGACUCGCGGCUUACCCGCUUGUUGGUGGGGUAGUGGCUUACCAAGGCUUUGACGGGUAGCCGGCCAGAGAGGGUGACCGGCCACAUAGGGACUGAGGGAAGGCCGAGACAGGGAAGGGAGGGAGAAGGGGGGAAGAUUGAAGAAGGGGUGGAGGCUGGGUGAAGAAGGGCCGGGGGCGGGAUAACGGUGUUAGGGGUGAAAAACGAAUUUGUAAAUGACGAAGCAUGGUGUGACGGUAGUGGAUAAAGAAGCACCGGCUAACUACGUG